CGGCAAUAUAAAGGGUGGCGCCAUCAGCAACGGUCCUUUUGGAGCCGGGCAGUAAGGGUGGAUGUGAAAUUUAAUUUGUAUGUGCAGCACUGAUGCUAGCAGUUCGGUAUGGUGAUUUUAAAAAAGUAAAUCUACAGAUGCUGGAAAGACAAGCAGCGCACCCAAAAUGCUGGAGGAACUCAGGCCAGGCAGCAUGUAUGGCGAAAAGAACAGUUAACCUUUCUGGUUGAAACCCUUUGGCAGGACCUUUUGCUGGGCUGAAGAACUAUGAGGAGCAGUCGCAAAUACAGGCUAUGUGCUACAAUAAGCAUUUCCAGAAUUUCCAAAGUCAAUCCAACUUCGGUCACAUGAACUGGAAGAAGCAAUAGCAAUGUCUUGGACAUUAAGGUCUUGUGGUGCCAUGAACAUCUGCAGAAUAUGGGUUAGAUGAUCAAUGCAGAAAAGCUGCAAGUUGAGGUGGAAGCAUCUCAAACAGAUUUUACAGAUGGAGAAAUUCCAGAGCAACACGCACACAUUGUUAAGAGUAACGCAGCAGGUCCCAAUAUUUUGGAGGGACUCCAAAGAUUUUCAAGUGAAUGGUGAUACAGUAGCAAUGACAACAAAGGCGAAUGAUAGUAAAGUGGCUUUGAAUGAUGACUCAUUCCUGAAGCUCAUCCUGCAUACUCUAGUGUAUCUCACUGAGUUGGGCUGCUGAUCAUGAAAAUUGCAUCAUUGUUCAUUCUGUAUGGGCAUAGCAUAUUGUGUGUACCUAUCAGAAUAAAGUCGUUGUAUUUUCAGGAAUGUUUGUGACAGCCAACUGU